CGCCCUUUUCCUGUUCGUGGCAUCUUGCGCUGCGCAGCGUUAGCGACACCACCGGGAGCUGUGCGCAUAUUUUCUAUUCGUGUAAGGAGCACCGGAGGCGGAGGUUUCUGAGCAGAUCGACAGGCAGUGCGGGCUUCUCCGCCUAAAAUGAAAGCGUUUUUAUCCUGAUGCACCGAUGCGGGAGGAACUGCGACUCAUGGGGUGCUGAUUUACGUUUUGCAUUUUUACAAACUCGGAUGUGUUUUUGCACGAUCCGAGAGGCCUCGCUUACACGGCAUCUUUCUGCAGCUCUAUUUUUUUUUUUUUUUUAAUAACUGCUGCAGGCUGAGAAACGAGCUUUCAGUCCCCGCUGAGUGUUACAUAACCGAGUGGCUUUAGCUGUCCAAGGUGCUGAACUGAGCGGUCGAACCUCAAAACGGGGCUACGAGCUGUGGGGGAAUACACAACCUUGUAAGGUCAAAGGCCUGGAAAGCGCUGGAUCCCACCUUGGAGAACAGAAGUGGAAAAUUGGUGAAGAUUGAUUAUAUUGCUCACAUUUUUUUUUUUUUUACCCCACGCCAUCCCUCGGGGAGAAAUUAGUUUCUGCGGUGGUUGAUUGAGCGGAGAGGGAAAAUGUCGGGGCAGACGCUCACGGAUCGCAUUGCCGCUGCGCAGUACCAGCUAACGGGAUCGGAUAUGGCCCGGGCUGUCUGCAAAGCCACCACUCACGAAGUGAUGGCGCCCAAGAAGAAGCACCUGGAAUACCUGGUGUCAGCCACCAACACCACCAAUGUAAACAUCCCUCAGAUGGCUGACACGCUGUUUGAGCGAUCCACCAACGCCAGCUGGGUGGUCGUCUUCAAGGCUCUCGUCACCACUCAUCACAUAUGCGUCCAUGGCAACGAGAGGUUCAUUCAGUAUUUGGCUUCCAGGACCUCCUUGUUCAACCUCAGUAAUUUCAUUGACAAAACAGGCUCUCAUGGCUAUGACAUGUCUACAUUCAUCAGGCGGUAUGCACGAUACCUGAAUGAGAAAGCCUUCGCCUACCGCCAAAUGGCUUUUGACUUCACCAGGGUGAAGAAAGGUGCCGAGGGAGUGAUGAGAACCAUGACCACCGAGAAGCUACUGAAAGGCAUGCCUGUUCUGCAGACUCAGAUCGACACACUCUUGGAGUUUGACGUUCAUCCGAAGGAGCUGAACAACGGGAUCAUCAAUGCUGCCUUCAUGCUUCUCUUCAAAGAUCUGGUGAAGCUGUUUGCAUCCUAUAACGACGGAAUCAUCAACCUGUUAGAAAAGUUCUUCAAGAUGAAAAAAAGCGAUUGUAAGGAGGCCUUGGAGAUUUAUAAGAGGUUCCUGACCAGGGUGACGAAAAUUGGGGAGUUCAUGAAGUUGGCUGAGACAGUCGGAGUGGACAAAAACGACAUUCCUGACAUCAACUAUGCUCCCAGCAGUAUCCUGGAGUCUCUGGAAACACACAUGAACGGUCUGGAGGACGUAAAAGGUGGAAAGAAAGGUGAAGGGUCUCCAACAAAGGGGUCUCCAACAAACAACGUGUCUCCAACAUCGACUCCAGCCAAAUCUUCAAACGCCGUUCCUACGCUGCAGCCGCCCCCCGGGGAUGGAGCCGCCGCUGCCGCCGCCGCCGCCGCCGCUGCACCUGAGCCAGCUGAAGAUUCUUUGCUGGACUUGGAUCCUCUGGCCUCCACUGGCCCCACAGCGCCAUCAGCUGCACCAACAUCUUGGGGAGAUCUGCUUGGAUCAGAAAUGGGCGAUUCCUUGCUAUCUGAACCCCCACUCGCCGCAGAGGCCGCCCCCUCCCCUGCAGCAGCGGCGCCCACUCCUGCAGCGGCAGAACCUGGCGUCUCUCUAGCUCCUCCCACUAGCACAGCAGCCGCCACUUCCCCUGGUGCCGCCAAUAUGGAUCUGUUGGGAGACGCCUUUGCUACACCUGCUGCUUCCUCUGAGGCCCCUGCUGCAGCAGCAGAGGGUGGGGCUGCUGCUUCGUCCACUCCAGCCACUAACUCUGGAGCUGAUAUGUUUGACUCCAUGCCAGACUCGAGCUUCUCCAAAACGGACCCCUUACCCAGCACUGACUUGUUUUCAGCAGAGCCUACAGGAGGGGAUGCCCCAGCUGCUGCUGCUGCUGCACCAGCUGCUGCUGCUGCUGCACCUGCUGCGGCUCCAGGUUCUGAGCUCAUGUCAGUAUUUGAUGGGCUAGGCGACAUAAUGAAGCCCACUGUGACCCCUCAAGCGGGUGACGUUGACACCUCCAUGGCUAACAUGGCAAGUAACCUCACAAUGGGAACUGCAGCGGCUCCUCAGGUAGCUCCCCCGAGUUGGGGUGCACCCAUGGUACCAGUUGCCGGAGCACCAAUGAUGCCCAUGGCCAGGCCAGGCUUCCCUGCUGCAGGAGUGACCCCGGGGGCACCGAUGUCUCCUGGAAUGGCCCAAAGCCCCAGAAAGCCCCCACCACCCAGGAACGCUCUGGAUGACCUGAAUAUCAAGGACUUCAUGUAGACUGCCUGACCCAUUAACCCCAAGAUCAUGUUUCGUGCAGCAGAUGAGGCCAGCACUCAUGGUAAUUUGGGGUUUGUCAUUGUGUCUGGAGAUCUGUGGAUAUGGAUGUCUGCAACCCCCUCACCCCACCAGUCCCUUCUUCAGCCAGCCAGCCAGCCAUCAUCUCUUUGGUCUUUUCCCCUCUAACCCCCCAC